rnacentral:rRNA from 1 species
CUAACACUUAUGGUAAAAACAAACACAUCUGUUUUCAGGUUGCUUAAGUGACCUGACUUCCGGUUCCGUAAUCGGUGAAAAACCACUCGAAAUCGUUGAGCAUCGGUCGGUCGUAUAUUAGCCUACCCGCAAAAGAAAAGAAAGAAAGAUGUAUAUUAGUACUACUAGUGGCCACUUAAGCUAGACUUUUGAACCAUCGCGGUUUAGCGGGUUUGUUCAAGUGAUGAGGUGACGAUGCCAUGCGUCGCCGGCUGCCGUCCCGUGGUUGUGUCGUCGAUGAGGUUGUCGGAAGCAGACGAGGGGGUUGAGGUGACGAGACGACUCGGCGGUACCGCCUCGAGCUCCGGCCCAGGUAGAGGUACCGCCGGCCGCCGCCGCCGGCUGAUGCCUUGCGGGACUCGCCGCACGACACACGAAAGUGGGAGGAGGAAUAGCCGCAGGAGCGGAAGAGGUAGGCGGAGAAGAGGCACUAGUUCAUGCUCUCGCACUAGGUGCUCAAGCUAGGGAUGAAGUUGAUGGCGCAGUGAGUCAAAAACAGUUUCUCACCUUAGAUGCUCAAAACCUUGACCAAACUGCUAGCUUGUACCAUGGGGGAGCCUGCACAAUAACCGCCGUGGCACCGGCCUCUUCUACCGGCUCGAUCUCCUCCUGCACCAAGGACCCUACUAGCCACCUUCCAUCCUAGACAGCUACCUCCUACCCAUCUCCGCUCGACCCCUACCCAAAGACAGCUACUUCCCAUCUACCCUUGCUCGAUCUGCUCCACCUUCUCAGGACGAGACUAUGGUAUAACUUAAGUACGAGGUCGGUUGAGGAAGUUUUCAGGCUUGACUACCUCCCUCCGCCCGUUAUAUAAAGUUGUGAGGGGGAGUGCAGAUCCGAUAAAAUCAGGAAUCUGCACCCUAGCCACAUCCGGCGUCUUAGCAAAAAUAAAUUAUAAUUAUGACGUAACCGUCCCAGAACUUGAGUUCUGGAGAACCGAGACUAUGGUACAAUUCUUACCAAAUUCGCAGAGUUAGUGGCAUUGUACCACUGGGCGUACAUAAACAUAACUAUACUGAACCUCAUGUUCCCUUGGCUACCAACGUCGGAUUGGUAUGCCCUCUCUAUAUGUUCCCUAGAUCUAUCUCUAUCUUAUGUCUCUAUUCAAUAGAUUGAUUGAUGGAGGGAACUAUGCGAACUGUUGUUAUAACCAAUUGUCCAACAUGACCCUUGUGAAGACCGUCGUAACCAUGGACACCAACCAAAAUUACGUUAUAACUGUAGUCUCGUGAAACGUAGUAAAGACCAUGUGGUUAACUAAUAGAUGGAUGCGUACACAAGGAAAGGGGGGGAAUUUAACAGACUAAAGUGGGUUAAAAACAUAUAGACAAUUUUUUAACGAUGAGGGAGGUUAGGUAUAAUGAACAGCGAGUUUACCUACAUAAAUCGUGACUUUAUGCAGAUCUAUGUAGGCAAACUCACUGUUCAUUAUACCUAGCCUCCCUCAUUAACGAAAGAGAAAUAAAGACUUUUACUACUAACUUAAGGUCCACAAAUAUUAGGAGGUACACCAACGAGAACACAUAAUGUAGUUUCCUGAAAAUUGAGGAGCCGACAAGUUUCACCGGUACUGUAAACAUGAUUGCCAACCGAAUCGGGAAACAAAGCGACAUCAUCGCCAUGAACGACGUAACCAGCGUAGAUCGGGUUGUUUUCCAACCUCACCCGCGUCAAACUCAGAUGAACUGGGUUGUAUACGUUCGUUCAUGUAGGGAUAGUAACGAUCGCACUCGCUUGUAGUUGGUGGAUGGACCGGAAGAAUGAAAUACCGAUAGUUACACGAUCGGAAGAAUCAAGGACGACCCUAGUAUAGUACGAAGAAUGGAAAUAGACUACGUUCGAGUAAAAACCAGAACAUGAACCAUUGAAGUCAUAUAAAGAGACCCCAUUACCAUGCUGACUACGAACAAGAACGGGGACGACACACGUAAAACAGACCCUAACGAGACAGUCUUCGAAAAUUACAGGAGUGUGCUAGUUACUUUAAAGUCGCGGGUUAUAGUCUACUAUGGGAAGGUUGACCUCCUCUAUCAUGGGGUCCCUCAAGGUCAUGUCGGUGAUAGUGUUGAAGGUGCUUUUUACGCUUGUAUUUUUUUCUUUUUUACCCCUGAUAAAGUUUCCUUUCUAGUAGUUUCUUCUCAGCCUUCCUUUGUCUUAACCACCCUUCAAGAGGACAAUCCGGGCUUUUCCUCCUCUUCGAAACACAUGACGGAAGACUUCGUAGACGGUACCCAUAUGACAAGGACUAGUACGAAACACCUGAAAUACACUAGGUAACACAUACCCGUCGACGUCUUCGUAUGAGACGUGGGAGUUAACACGACUGUAGUGCAAGUGUGUUGCCCAACGUACAAAUACUGCUAAAGGCACUUAGAAUACGUACCGACGCGGUAUUGUGUCUUCAUCUGCUAUUCCAACGCAGUACCACCCUGAUACCAAUAGUCUGUUGACGUUACCGGUUGUCCUGACACUAACAUCUGUUAUUAUGGACCUUAUUGUGCGUGUAUCGCUGUCAACCCUGUCGUUACAGUAGGGGUCUUUUUCCUCGUACCCUCUAGAAGUUAAGGAAUCUACAGUUUAUACACGAACACCAGAAACCUCCCGAAUCACCGAUGGGUUCACUACUAUAAUUAUUCAAGGAGACCUACCAAGCUUAGCCUCCACCACUUAAGGGAGUGUAGUUCCUUGUCCUAAUGGAAUCCCUACCGUUGAUGGCACAACUACGAGUCCCGUGAGGUUGUUACGACUUAACGGAGUACAUGUUCGAAACAAUAAUGUCUAAGCGACUCUGACUACCGUUCCCCAAACUGUCUCGCUCUUUUAUACUUUAUCCUUCCUUCGUAAAAUUUGACUGGGUAAAACUCCUCCAAAAAUGUUGGGUCGUGACCUACCAAUCCUAAAUGUUUGACUUUGGCGUUUUCUUGUCCCAGGCUCCUUUCAACUUUGACUUUAACUUUAUAUCAAGCUUUUGUUCAAAUUACGCGUUUCCCCGACCUUUCUUCUUGGGUACCGUCAUCAGCUUAUCUCUUGUGUACGGGUGAUAAUGGGAAUUUCUUGUGUUUGAGUGAUAAACCGAACGGGUUUCAAGGGCUAGAGCCCUUUUAAUGUGCGAUUGCUCUUCUUGAACCAAUCUCUAUAGGUGUAAAAACAUAUGAAACGGCGCACAGUGUAAAGAGAGAGAAUGUGGAGGUCACACCAAGACACCACGUUCCUCUCCUUUCUCCAUAGGGCCUACGUCCUCUAAGGUAAAGGGUACAUCGUUAACUCACUUGUUGUCUUUAAAACUUAAUACAGUUCCUCGCUUGUUGAACGACACACGACAUAUGUUGCAACGUGGAGCCGUAGUAGCAGUGGUGAAGAGGGACUCGUUUCGUUCACGGAUACUAUGGAACUUUACCAUACUAACCGUGAUACAAUGUUUUCAAUAUAAACUUCGUCACUCCAGGUUUUUAUACUUGGGAAAAUACUUUCCCUUCCUUAAUAAGACAUACGUCGGACCUAUUCGACCUUCGGAACUAUAAUACAUCUCAAACUUAAUCAAAACCAACCCCACACGGUCCGGUCCCGUCAUCACGUUGCGGGUCUGCUGUGUACACUUGGGGUCAUCGUUCGAUGAUAACACCUGGUGGGGGUAUUUUUUAUUUAAAUUAUAGUAACAUUCGUGUACCGGGUGUAUAGUCUAUAAUUUGACUAUUCUUGUCUAUGAUGUGAACUAGAAUCGGUUUUCCGGCUCUUUCCAUACUCAAGAGAACCACGCGACGGAGAGCAAAAUAUGUGGAGAGGGCCGAGCGAGGCGAGCCGCACCAAAAAGUAAAAAAGACUUCCGACCCUAGCCGCAUCGACCCGAGAAGCAUUGGUUUAGAGGGUUCCGGUUCCGGGUCUGGCAUUGCGUUGCUGCUGGAACGACGCUCAUUUGCUAUUUCGGGUUUGAUGUGCGAAACGCACCGGACUUUUGUUUCGAUGCAGCCUCCUUUGCCUGGCUUUUCUACCGAGUUGGCCACCCAUGGUAGCUCUGGGUCCAUAACACGCAGAGCACAGAAUU